rnacentral:lncRNA from 1 species
UAUCUCAAACACCACUUUAACAGAGAACAGGGAUACAAAGUAGAAUCUGAAUGACUAAAUAAUUGUCAAGAGAACAAUUUGCUGAUUGAACUAAGUUUUGAAUCAGACUGCAUUAAAAUUAGUUUUCUCAUUUUAUCAAUCAGAACUCACGGGAUAGCAGAGCAGCUAACUGUAGGCUUCUCAGAAAAACAGUUUUUCCUUAGAAAUUUAAAGCAAUGUGACUUCACUUUGUGGCUCCAGUGACUUCUAGUGUUGCUGUACACUGACAUUCUACUUCUAGAUCAUUCCAACUUUUUUUUUCCUCUGUAGAAAGUUUUUGGCCUUUCUUCUCUCUUAUUGGUUUCCGAUAGUUGGUGUGGGUUUUUC